AGGUAGUCUUGCCCAGACUGGCCUCAAACUUUCCUUAGCUGCUAGAGUGGCUGGAACUACAAGCACGCACCACCGGACUGAUACAUACAGACGGAAUGACCCUGACUGUAAAGUUCUUUUCUAAGGAGGGAAGGCUCCAAGUACACCAGGAAGGCUUUCGGGCUUUGGCCGACAGGCAAAGGACUCAGCUUAUUCAGACAGGGGGUCCACGCCUAGCUUCCACCCGCACCCUGCACACGCGCGCAGCGGGAAACUGGAGGGGCGUGGAGGAAAAAGGAUCCACGGACAGCGAAAUCACGUGAUCCCCCGGGGACCGCCCCUGUCCUGGCCUUGCCAUUGCCUAGAUGGGAAUACAAGCGUCCAGACUAGGAAUAACAAUCAGACCGCGGGUGCCUAAUUAUGAUAAUUGACCUGACCUCUGACGAGGAAAGAAUCCACCUGGCCCAGGAAGAUAAGAGUGUGGGCUAGCAAGUACGCGAUCACUUCCGCCGGCCAUAGCCCAGAGCCAAUCGGCUUGGCCCUGGAAGCCCUGAACAAACACAGUCCCAGGGCGAAAGUGCUUCUGCCCUCAUCUAAAAUGGCGGCGAGGGCGGUGCUGGUGGCCGGAAGUAGCCGCCCGUGACUGAUUUGUGCUUCUGGGUAACCUCCGUCGCCUUGUCUGCUCUGGAGCCGCUGGAUCUGCGGAACCCUGGGGCGCUUUUCGAUACUCUGGGAAGGAGGAAAUCCGUAGGCUAGAGUUCCAGCCACAGCCACCCCCCAGAAGUUCUACAGCAUGGCUGUCCAGAUGAAUCUGCAGUUAGAAAUUCCUGAGGCCUGGAGCUCCAAGGAAGCCUCUCAGUAGGUGCGAACCACACAGUUCUACCUGCUCUGCUGCCACCCUCAGUCUGCACCAGCUGGCUUCUAGUUCCUGAUACUGAACCAUCCUCUGAAUUUCCUACACUCGUCCAGCAGAUGGCAGCAGCCAGCCACUUCCGUAUACUCAGGCUCUUCACCUUUUCUACACAAAAGCAAGAUGCUGCUCAAAUGCAAGCCAUGUCUGCCCGAGCUGUAGCUGAGGCCCUGUACUCUGCCUUGCUCUUAGAGGAGAGUUCUCCCCUCCAGGACUUCACAGACCUCUCGAUGGCCAGAAAGGAACUAUCCAGACCCUUCUCAACCACCCGUGCCAUGGUCUGUCAUCGUCUUCUCCAAGAUGGUGCGCUGCUCAGGGACAGACUGCCACAGCCUAGACGCAAGGCUCAUGAGUUCUUGGAACACCAGGUACGGGGGGUGGAGGGCGGCCUCCAUGGUCUCCUCCACCUCACAAAAGGGGUUCUCCUCGAAGAUCAGCAUGUACAGGGUGACACCCAGAAACCACAUCUCCAGCUCUGGCCUUCUGUAGACCCAGCAAGAUGAACAUCAUCUUCACUCUGCAUAGAAGAGCAGUGUGGCUUGGGGAGCAGGAGAAGCUGUUAAGUGGUGUUGAGGACCAGAGGAGAAUGAAGGCCUAUAUGGUUUUAAUUUUUACUAUGUAUAUACCCACAUAAUGAAAUGAAUUAAACAUUAAGACUUAGUUUUUAAAAAAGAAAAAGAGGGCCAGGGGUUUAGCUCAGUGAUUCCGGCACCUGCCUUGCAGGCACGAAGUCCCGAGCUCGGUCCCCGGUACCAAAAAAAAGAAAAGAAAGGAAAGUUUUGUGGUAUUAUCUGUUUGUUUCUUCUUUAAGAGAAAAUCUUUUUUUGUCUGUCUUGUGCUCUGAGUAACUACUUACAAGAUGAUGAUACACAGUGUAUUAUCUAUGGUUAUUCUCUUGUUUCUUAAUGAAAUUUUUAUUUUUUCAUAAAAAAGAAAACAAUCAUCAAUCUAGACUUUUAUAUCCUGCCUUCAAAAUUGAUGGAGCAGCUGGGGAUUUAGCUUGGUGGUUCCACCACCUGCCUCGCAAGUUCGAUCCCUGGUACCAAAAAAAAAAAAAAUUGAUGGAGAAGUAAAAGUCUUCCAUGACAAGGAAAUCCUAAAUAAAUACAAGACAACUAUUGCAGAAAAUACUUAAUGGAAUCCUAGACAGAGACAGGGAGGCCACCAACACCAAAGGAAGGGUCCAAAGGAAAGUAGACGUCUAACUGAGAGAGAGUAGUUAAGUAAAAGCAAAAAAGGGGGGGGAAUCAGCACUGGAAAAAUAAUGCAAAAGGGCUGGGGAUUUAGCUCAGUGGUUCUGCCGCCUGCCUCAUAAGCGCAAGGACCGGAGUUCGAUCCCCAGUACCAAAAAGAAAAAAAGAAAAAGAAUGCAACAACAAGAUUCAAUAAACACCUUAUAAUAAUAUCUGUCAGUGUCAGUGGUCUCAACUCCCCAAUCAAAAGACACAGAUUGGCAGACUGGAUUUAAAGAAAAAACAAAAUGCAAUCAAAAAUUGCCUGUAGGAGAUCCCUCAUCCAAAAGGAAGUACAUAGACUGAAGGUGAAAGCAUGGAAAUUCAUACUGUAUGCACUGGAGCCUAAAAACAAGCAAGAGUAGCUAUCUUAUUUUCAGACACAGCCAAAUGGAAGCCAACUGGAAGCCAAAGCUGAUCAGAAGAGACAGAGAUGGCUGCUACAUACUGGUAAAGGGAACAGUUCAACAGGAAGAGAUAACAAUUGUAAAUGUUUAUGCACCAAAUGACAGCACACUCAAUUUCAUAAAAAAAAAAAACCAAACAAACUAGUGGACUUAAAAGGACAGAUAGACACCAGUACAAUCACAGUGAGGGAGAGUGAAGUACCUCAUUCUCACCAUUAGACAGGUCAACUAGACAAAAAGUCAACAAAGAAACAUCAGUUAUACCACACCAUUGAACAAAUGGACUUACCAGAUAUCUACUUUGUCUGGGCGGCUGAGCCAGGAAGAUUACAAGUUCAAGCCUAGCCUGGGCAGUUUAGCAACUUAGUGAGACCCUGUCUCAAAAUAAACAAGAAUAGGGAUGAGGAUGCAGCCCAGUGUAAAGGCCCUGAGUUCAAUUUCCAAUACCACAAAAUCAAAACAAGAUUUUAGUCAGCUGUGGGGGAGCAUACCUGUAGUCCCAGCUGCUAGGGAGCCUGAGGCAGGAAGAUCGCUUGAGCCCCAGACUUCCAGGUCAGCCUAGGCAACAAUUCCAUCUCCCAAAACAAACUAAUCAAGUAACUAAACAAACAAAACUUGUAAGGCCGGGGAUUUAGCUCAGUGGUUCCACUGCUUGCCUGGAAAGCCUAAAGACCUGAGUUCAAUCCCCGGUUCCAAAAAAAAAACCUUGUAGCAGACUUCUGCCUGGGUAUUAACAGGCUACAGUGGCACAAGCUUCUUGGCCCUCCGUAAUUCGGCUGUGUUACAUCUGAAGCAGCAGAGCUUGGCUGAGUUCACACCCAGUCAAGGUCAAGUGACUCCAGCUAAAUUCUUCCCCUCUGAAUUAACCCUUUGUUCUCUUCAGCAAAGAUGUGCUUGUGGUCUGUCUACAGUCCUGCCUGCUUGAUACUUGUUAUCAGCAGGUGUCCCAAGGCCUGCCCAGUUUCCCCUCUUCCCACAUUUGUAAUGAAUAAACACUGGAUGUCCUGGGAGUUCUUUAUCUUUGCUCCCCAGAACAGCUUAGAUCAGCCCAAGACUCAGGUUCUCUCAAGUCUCUGUCUCUGUUUCUUUUAAUUCCCACUUUCCUAUCUCGUAGACAUCAUACUGGCUAGCAGGAGGCCAGGACCACUGCAGGGGACUCUAGCAACUCGAAUUACCCUUUCCCUAUAAAAACUAAGACAUGAAGGGCCAGGGAUUUACCUCAGUGGCACUGUGCCUGCUUGCAAGUGCAAGGUUCUGAGUUUGAUCCCCGGUACCGAAAAAAACAACAACUACGACAUGAAAAAGCAUGAGCCAGUGAGGGUUUUUUUUUUUUUUUUGCAGUGCUAGAGAAUUAUCCAGGACCUCCUGUACAUACUAGGUAAAUGCUCCACCAAUGAACGUCAAACACAGCUCACCAAUGAGUUUUUACUUGGAAAAGAAUAAUGCUGACAAGAGGAGGUCUGCAACAAUUCAGGAAGGAUUUCAUAAGAUGGCAAAAGCUAAAGAGCACCUAAAACGUAGUAGGCUGCAAAGAAAAAGCAGAAUUUAAACAAAAUAGUAAUGAAUCAGUGGUGCUGACCCAUUUAGGCUGUCCUCCUGGCCAGCACUCAAGCAGGCCUCUUCUCAGGAGCCUGUGUACCCUACCCACCUCCCCGGGAACGUGCUCCUUCCCUCUGGUGCAUGGCUCAAAGCUCACUUGUGCUAUGCUUUGGAUCUGGAGUUCCCCAGAAGCCUAAGCGUCAAAGGCUCGGUCUUAAGCUUGGUGCUAUUGGGAAGUGGUGGAGGGUGUGUGUGUGUGUGUAUGCCCUGUACAGAGGAUUUGCACACUGGGCUUUUUUUUUGUGACAGGGUCUUGGUAAGUGGCUAAAUUGCCCAGAUUGCCCAGGCUGGGCUCGAACUUGCAAUCUCCCUGCCUCAGCCUCCCAGAAUGAAGGAUUAUAGAUGUGCAUCACCACACCCAGCUAAGUGGUGGAACCUUUAGGAAGUGAGGCCUCAUGGGAAGUCUUUAGGGAUUAGAGUCCUGCUCUGCAAGGGGAUUGUGGCAUUUUGGUUUCUCCUUUCUCCACUUCCUGGCCAGGAGAUGAGCAGGAUUGCACUGCCAGGUCUUCCACGAUAGUGUGCUGCCGCCCCAUAGGCCCAGAAACAACAGAAUCAACUGAUUGUGAACUAGAACCUCUAAAACUUUGAGUCAAAAUGAACCAUUUGUCUUUACAAGUUCAUCAUCUCACAUAUUUGUUAUAGUGAUGAAAAGCUGGGUGACACACUCAGGCUUAGUUUUCUGGAUUGUGAGGAUCUUUUAUUUUUUGGUACCGGGGAUUGAACUCGGGACCUUGCACUUGCGAGGCAGGUGGCAGCACCACUGAGCUAAAUCCCCAGCCCAACAGUAGUGUCUUUUGUGUGUGUGAGGAUUGAAAUAUUUCCUUCCCCAAACUCACAGAAAAGAAACCACCACACAAAACCACCUCACCCCACAACACUCAGUAGAGACACCACACUUACAAAUAGCUAUAAAAAGAUGCAUAAAGAAGAAAUUGACAUAGCUAACUAAACUCUGACUGUGAAUGAAUAUGCUCUUUGCUCCUUGUUUCUCAGCUUCCUGUAAUGCACAUCUUUUUUUUGUCACCCCCCCCACCCCACACAUCUUAACUUUUUUUUUGGUACCAGGGAUCGAACUCAGGACCUUGUCCUUGCAAGGCAGGCACUGGAACCACUGAGCUACAUCCCCGGCCCCAUUAGCUUUUAAAAAAUAAGGAUUAUUUUAAAAACAAAAAAAGUUGUGAAUGCAUAUGACUAACAUACAUAGUUUUUGUUUUUCUGGAAAGAAGUUCAAGAAACUUUUUGCAUUUAAGGAGAGAAGCAGGUGGUAAGAACAAGAUUUUACUUUUCACUUAGCUUUUGUCUGUAACCUUUGAAUUUUCAUAUAAGUAUAUAUAUUGAAAUUCUUUCUUUCUUUUUUUUUUUUUUGGUACCAGGGAUUGAACUCCGGUCCCUGCGCUUGCAAGGCAAGCAACGGAACCACUGAGCUAAAUCCCCGGCCCAAUAUAUUGAAAUUCUUGAAAGUGUGAAAUUGAGAUUUACUGGUGCACUUUAAUGUAAUCUAAUUUCAUUUAAUUUACUACUUACUAUAUUAAAAAUGCCUGUGAUAACUCUCUAAGAAGGAGAAGUAAGAUACAUAAGAAUUGGGGGUCUGAGGCUGUAGCUCAGUGUUAGAGCACUAGCGUGUGAGGCCCUCAUUUGGUCCUCAGCAUACACCACCCAAAGGAAUUGGUAUGAUAUAAGUGCAUAUAUCACUUUUGUUGGCCAAUAUGUUUCAGUUAGAGAAUCAACUUAAAAACUGCUUGAAUUCACCCAUGGUUUCAGGAAUUGAUCACAGCCAGAUAUGGUGGUGCAGGUGUGUGAUCCCAGCUACUUUGGAGCCUGGGGCAGAAGGAUUAUGAGUCUGAGAUCAGCCUGGGCAACUCUCUUAGUUACUUUUCUCAUUGCUGAGACAAAAUACCUGACACCCAAAGUUAAAGGGAGAAAGGCUUAUUUAGCUCACAGUUUGUACAGGUUUCAGUCCAUAAUUGCCU
rnacentral:lncRNA from 1 species